UGCUGAUGAUGUGUACUGCUCAUGUCAGUACUGGUGAGUCUGGAUGCUGAUGAUAUGUUAGUUCCCAUCAGCUCCAAGGCUGAUCAGUAGUGAUGUGAGAUCUACUCGACGUUGUAUUC
rnacentral:precursor_RNA from 16 species